CGCCCGGCCGCCAGGGGGCGCCGGCGCGCAGCUCGGGAGGAGCGGCCCGAGGGGGCGGGGCGGGGCCGGGUCCGCCCCGCCCACGGAAGCGCCCCUCACCCGGCCCCCGCCGCACGCGUCCGCUACACCGCAGGGCUCAGCGGCCGCCUUGCCGCCCGGAGCGGUGGGCGCGGAGGAGGCCCGCAGGCCCCCGCCCCGUCCGGCGCUCUCCCGCCACCCUCCCGCCCCUCCGCACUCGCCCAGGAGGUAGCACGACCCGCGCGCUCCGGGCGCGGCGCGAGCAGCCAAUACGGAGCGAGCACCGCCCGCUGGCCCUCCCCGGUGGGCGGGCCCGUCCGGCCGCGCGGGCCCCUGAGGCAAGCGGCGGGGAGGCGGUGGCUGCCGCCGGGCCGGGUCCUGCCUCGCCCCGCCUCUCCGGAGCUCCCUCACACGCCCACGGCCCGGCGCCGCUGCUGAGGGCGAGGGGCGAGCUCCGGGCCGCCCCGUCCCGCCCCGACGCCUGAGGAGCUCCGCGCCGGCCGCUUCCUCCACCCCCCCGCGGGCCUUUGGCGCCGCCGCCGCCGAGCGACCGGCUGCCGCGCCGGCUGGGCCCGGGAUGCAGGAGAACAAACUCACAGGAGAAGAAGAAAAUAUGUGAUGUGCUUUCAGAAAUAACACCUUGAGGGGUCUGAUCUUUUGUCACUUUCGUCUGAAAGAGGUACAAGGGACAGGACUAAAUGGGUGCUUCUGCUGACUUACAUGGUAUCUACUGUGUAUCUGGUGCAUACCGGCACUGGAGUUUGCUAGUUAAAUCCUGGCAGGCAGCUCUGGAGCAUGAACUGUAUUUAAAGAAGUUUAGAUACUGUUUUGGAUUUAGUUACCUUUGAAAAGCUGUCUUACUGAAGACAUAUGGUGUAGUUGCUUGGAAAUUAUUUUGUACUGCUGACAAAGAUUUUGCACUUUCAAGAGCUGAAGUGAAAGAGCAGCAGCACAAUAAACUGUGGGCACCAUAUAGCCAGUCUUCAUAGCCAUAACCCCGCUUGUGACAUCUGAGCAUUUAAAGAGAGUCGUUCAAGGUAGUCAAUGAAAAUUGGAGUUGUUAACUGGCUAUGACCUAAAAGCAACAGGAAAGAAUUCUUACAGCUUUGACAGGGAAAGAACAGCUAUAUUUUCUGUCCCUUAAUGAAUUAAAAAAGACUUUCAGUUACUAAGAUGCAGAGAAAACAGCAAAUAUAUUAUGCACCUGACAACAGCAGACAGCAGCAGGAAACAACAAAAGAGGCUAUAUCUCUGGAUUCUGUUAAAGGCACUAGUAGAUGCAUAACAUGUUGAUUUCCAGCUUAAGUUACACCAAUAACUUAGAGGACUAAACCGGUAACUGGUAUUAUUCUGUUCCUGAUAUGCAGUGCAAGUAUCCCGUAUACAUAAACAGCAGUGAACCCUAGAGUAUAAGCAGUAAUUAUAAUCAGAAAAACAAAUGCACCAUUCAGAGGAAGACAAAAACCCCCACAAACCCAAAACACUUCAGCAGAAAGUCAGGUUGUUCAAGUUUGAAUUGGUAGAAGGUUUCUUUGUACCACUCUUCCCUGUUUUCAUAAGGCAUUUAGAUAUUUUUGUACUUCUGGGGGAGUGGGGGUGCUGGGGAAGCAACAGAAGUUUCUGCAAGCUGCCUUUUUAAGUGCAUCUCAGAAGCAGGAGUGUCCAUCUUUCAGCUUACUCAAGAAACAGCAAACAAAUAAAGAAGUAUAGUCUGGUCCUAUCAUUACAUUUUGGUGCUACAAAUCUGAGGAAUUAAAACCAAUUACAUGUAGAUGUGUUGAAAAUAAAUACUGUCAUUGUGAGGGGGAGUGUAACAGAAGGAAGUAGUUUUAUUUGCAAUAAAGUUCUUUCCCUGUAAGGUAAUAAUCUUGGAACCUGAACCACUGGCUUCCCUAUUGUGCUGUUUUUUACUGGUUUUCCUGGAAAGCUGCCUUGCUCUGAAUGGUGAAGGUGACACUAGACUGAGGUUUCUUCCUUCUGUCAGUAUUGCCUUGGGAGAAAACACCCCAGCUGUAUGCUACCCCGUUACCUAUUUAGAGCAGAACCAGUUGUAGGGACAGUCUCAAGUGUACCUGGGAUCCAGGAAGUUGCUUUGGCUAUGUCAGUUGUCUGCUGUGAGAAACUUUAUUUCUUUGUUUCGGUUUGAGACCCUCAUGGAUUCGCUGCCAGUGUCAUUCUCCCAGUUGAGCCUUUCUUAGGAGCAGUGGGGUGCUAUUUCCCGGUCUGACACUUGCAGAAUAAGGUCCCAGGCCCUACUUCUACAUGGCAUCCGUAGCUAAUCAGCUGUGAGAAGAGUGAUACAAGCCUAACUCUUCUUUGGCAUAGGAUAUAAUGUCUCCCUGUCAGCUGGGUACCUGAAGCCAGGCCUGGAGACUGCUCGGAUGGCAGUGCCUGCUGCAUACCCAGCAUUUACUGCACAUUACAUACUGCACAGAUGUCGCAGUGUCACAGUUUGUGGUUGAACAAUUUGAAAAGAGAGAUCAAUGUAAAAGACAGCAAGAUAUGUCAAUUAAACCAGAUACAUGGAACAGCAAUGCUACUUCCAGUCAUGAAGGGAAAAGUGAUAGGAGUUCGAGUUUCUUUGGGAAAUGAGAGAAAAAUAUCAUGAGGGAUGUAUAUUCCACGCAAAGAUGUGCACUAGAAUGCACACAUUUUCUGAAAUCGCAUUUCUCUCCAUGUGUUUCAGUGGAAUAAAGACCCCAUGACUUGUGAAUGCCAAGUCCUGUUAGACAUCGUGGACCAUUUCAAUGAGAUUCUUGGAUUAACUGAACUUUUUCCCCAUCACGUGUGGAAUAACUGCAUCCAAAAUCUGAACUAGUGAUCAUCAGGGAGACAGAGCUGCUGCAUGGGUAUUGUUAGCAAAAAGCUGAUCUCUGAAAUGGUGAAUUAUCUCGAGUAAGCCAAAAAUUAAGAGAUUCUGAGCCUUUGAUGUAAUUUAUUUUCCCCUUCUGGGGACAACCUUUCUCCCUCUUGGGCUGUUUUAAAAGGAACAUUCUCUUAUGAAUAAAUAUGACAAAUAGAAAAAUAAAAAUAUAGAAACAAACUAUGUAAACGCAAGCCCUGAGGUAUUUCAAGCACACAGUGGAAUUUUUAUACCUGACAUGCAAUCUAAAGGUGCCAGUAAGAAAAUCUACUUUAUGGCUUUGUAAAAACGUCCCGUCUUUCUUUCCUGCCUUACACCCGCAAGAAACGGUGAGAGGUUGAGGUAAGAGCCCCAUGGAAGCUGUGAUAGUCACAGAAGCAGAAACAGAGGAUAUUAAAGUGCUGCGUGUCUUUACCUGACCAUUUUCACUCUUCGGUUGGCUUCCACAGGCCAGUUAGAUUCUACAGAGUAUCUGACAAAGCUGCUGCUUUUCUGGAUAUAGGCUCUGCUCCUGCACCAGCAUAUAUACCAUUAGAGUCUUGCAGGAUAAAGGGCUUCUGAAUAAAGAUUUUAGUGGCCCCUUUAGCUCAUAGAUUUUUUUUUUUUUUUUUGGUGCGUGCGUGUGCGCGUGUGUGUGUGUGGCUAGCUUGGGAAUCUUAAGCACACUUUGCACUGCAAUUGCUCCCAAAUGACUGCGUUAUCUUGCCAGCUUCCCACCUCUUUCCCUCUCUUCCUUUAGCCUGGAUCUCCUUGGACAUGUUUCCUCCCCCAGAGCUUUCUGCAUUUGCAUGAAGGGUCCAGUCCUAAAAAAAAAAAAAAUCCAGUCUCUGCAUGACAGUGAAGUCAGUGGGUCUACUCAGGUGAAUUAAAGUUUGCUGGAGCAGGCCCUUUGGCAUUACUUUUUUUUUUUUAAUUAAAGUAAAAUUUUAUUAAUUGUACCCUGUUUGGGCUUUGGAAAGAACAGUUACAAAAUGGACUGUAGGCCUUACUGUUUAAAAUGGCAUUUGUUCCUCUGCUAAUUCUUGGCAAACAGGGGCUCAGUAUGAAAGGGUUUCAAGCACUGUAUACCUAUGGCUGUGUGUUCACUCUUGCAUAGUGAGACUCUGGAAGAAUAUGCAUGCAAACAUGCACACACAACAUAUCCAUUUGCACAUACUUACCUAAACAAGGCAGUGCAUACACCGGUACCUGCUCAUGUGCAUAUAUAUUUGUAAGGAGAGAUAUGCAUGGGCUUACACAAUGUCUAUAGAUGUGUAAACUCUUAAUUGCACAUAAAAAACAUUAAAAAUCAAAUUAGUCUUAGAUGCACCUUUGCUUUUUUCAUUAAGAAGGACAUUUAAAAACCCUUUUUUGUUUACUUUGGUUUUACUGUAACUAAUACAAUUCACCUGCUCACCUAAUGGGAUGUUUUCCUCUCAGUAUGUUAAAACACUAAUUAAAAUGCAUUACAAUUAUUAAACUGGGUAGAAGAGCACUUCUUGUAAAGCUUAGUCUGGAACUCCUGGGACAUAGUUGUGCAGUGAAAGUUUUAGAUCAUGUCUCUUGUGUUACGGAUCACACAGCACAGAACCAUGCUGAAUAUCAUGCCAAAGAUCUAGAAGAGAAGGGAUGCAAUUUAGGGAACCACUUACAAAACAGUUAUAAAAUAGUCUGCAUAUCAGAAAAAUCUGAAGGUUCUUAUGGCAAAGCAGCAAGUGACUGCUUCCAUCUACAAACCCCAAGACAUCAGACAAUUAUUAUAAGAGAUUUCACUGAUACUCAAAGCCAAGACUGUAUCUGCUCACACUAGCUUAAUUGUUCUUUGUUCUAAAUGUUAAGGCCAGCAUAACGGCCCCAAAUGUUAAUAUUAUAAAUUUUACUGACACCAAUAACUCUGACUAUUGGUCUUAUGCCUAGUAUUGCGCCAAAAGUUUCUGAGUUUCAGAAUGCUGCUACAUGGAUUAUCAUAUAUACUUUUGAAUAAGAGCAGAGAAUGAUUCCAGAGGAACCAGGUCUCUGGAAGUGGUGCUGAGCGUCGCAGUUUUACAGAGAAAGCUAAGCUCUUAGCAGUUACUACUCAAGGCCAAGACUAUACACUAAAUAUAAAACUCUAUUCAUGUCAGGGAACUAGUUAACUAGAGGGAAUGUUAAAAGCAGAGAACCGUGGGUGGGUAUUGCCAGAGUCUCCAGAAAUUUUCUUUUUGCCAUAGGUUGAUUCUCCAAAGCAGUUAGCAGCUACCUCCAGAUGCUUCGCUGCUAAUGAUGGGAUGUGAGCAAUACUGUCAGGCAAUUACACCGAGUUCAUAUCCCCUCCCCGCACACCUCCCUAAGGAAGAAGGAGACAGCUGACCAGUCACACCCCAAAAAGUGUCAGAAACAAGCACAAAAAAAUGUAGAGACAUCUUUUGCUGCUAAAGAGGUUAUCAUUUCGUAACUUCUGCUGUAUCUGAGACUUUCCUGCCCAGCAAAAAACUUGCCAGAGGCUUGGUACAGGAGUCUCAAGAAGGAAGAGCAAUCCAAGGGAAUUCCCUUUAUUCUAGAAGUCUUUUCUCAGUUUGCUAAGAGAGGAAUAUAUGAAAUCAACCACAGCUGAACUGCAAUAGAACAGGAAGGCUACAGUUUUGCCACACCACUUGAAGCCCAUGCACAAAAAAUGUACUGUGAGAUGGAGUAACAUAAAAAUACUGUCAUGCCUGCCACUGCAGUGGGAACUCAAAAAGUUGGGGAGCUGCAGAGAGACGAUAUCCAAUUGUAGGAGGCCACUCCAGUAAGUUACACCUGGUAAAGUGGACGGAGACUGCAUGGGUCAAAGAGUUCCAAUUCCAACCUUUUAUGUUGUAGGUUAAAAAAAUAUAAGCUGCAAUGGGGAAUAUGGAUCACUGAACACAAAACCACAAGCAACAGAAAACUAAGAACACAUAUGUGCUUGACCUCAGCGCUGCUGCCUGUAAGUUGUUCUCAAACCGACAAAAACAUUUCAGUGGCUGGAAAAGAUGAACAGGCCUGGUUGCCAAGUCAUGGCCCAAACUAUUCCAGGGGGCAGAAAAGACAGCUGGACUGCUGGUAAAGAACAAGGCUAUUUAAGGAGACUUAUUCCGGCCUAAUGGAAAAUGCAAGGAUAUAAUUACCAAUUAUUUUAAACUAAAACAACAUUUCAGAUCCAGGGAAAAAAAAAAACACAAGGAAGCACAAGAGAGAAGCUGUUUAGAUUCAGCUGGCAGCUCAAACAGGUACAAAAAGAGUGGAAUGUGCUGCUCUUUAGAAGCAAGAAAAUGAGAUGUUUUCCACAGGAUGGUGAUUCUGGACAGUGCUUCAACCUACAAGGCAAACUCUGAAUGCAGCUGCACUGUUGUUCCAAUCACUGACACAGAGCUGAUCUGAUCACAGGGGCUUGGGUUAUCGCAAGGCAGCCACAGAAGCGGUCAGUGGAACAGAGCUAAAGAAAUUAUCUUUAAAAAUAUGGCCACAUGUUUAUAUCUCCAAGUCAUACUGAUGAUUCGCUUUCUCUUUCAGCCCUCUGGGUAGCCGCUCCUUCUGUGCUGCACAGUGUUCCAUAUUAAGAAUUCCUAUGCAAAAUUCUGGCUGUCACCCAGAAUGCAUAUUACAGAGCAAACACACAAAGCCAAAUAAACAACACUCCUAGAGUCUCUGUGAGAAGGGCCCAAUACAUAAUUGUCAAGGGGGACUCAGAGCUGAAAUCUAGGGAGGUAAAGCUCUUGAGCAUGACGAUGAAGUACGGCCUUGCCUGCUGCGAAAAAAACCCCACUGUUACUGAACUUAUCACCAUUCCUCUACCACUUACUUAGUCACAGAUUGUUAAUAGCCUCAGACUUCUGAAUGGCUGCCCCAUCAGAUGCUCAGAAGUCACAGUAGCAUUUAACAUGAUUCGUAAUGAGGGAGGGCAGCAGAAAAUUUUUUAUCUAACAGGAAUUCUCUGUUCAGAGCACAAUGCCUAUUACAAAAAAGGGCCAAAACUUUCUUUAGAAUUCAGUCAAAAGUGCAAGUUUAAAAGAAUUCUCAAUAUAUUUAUGUCCCGUUCCUUAGCACUUCCUCAGUUAACAGUUACAUAUUACAUCAUACAGCUAUAUAAAUACAUGUGGCGGCUCCAUAGUUGAAUGUCAUGGGAUAUGAUGAAACUUUUACAAGACCAUUCUCCAGGACUUCUCAAAAUUAACAACUCUGAACAGCUUUUGUAAUUCCUAUUCAGGACUGAAGCAGAUUAAAUCUUUGAGAUAUUUAAAUA